rnacentral:rRNA from 1 species
AGAGUUUGAUCCUGGCUCAGGAUGAACGCUGGCGGUGUGCUUAACACAUGCAAGUCGUACGGUCUUUCCUAGUUGAAGCUUCGGCCGAUUCUAGGAAUAGAUAGUGGCGGACUGGUGAGUAACACAUGGGCAACCUGCCCCUCGGAUCGGGAUAACAGUCCGAAAGGACUGCUAAUACCGGCUAUUCUCAUUUGAUCGCAUGGUUAGAUGAGGAAAGAUGGCCUCUAUUUAUAAGCUAUCACCGGGGGAGGGGCCUGUGGCUCAUUAGCUAGUUGGUAGGGUAACGGCCUACCAAGGCUACGAUGGGUAGCUGGUUUGAGAGGACGACCAGCCACAUUGGGACUGAGAUACGGCCCAGACUCCUACGGGAGGCAGCAGUGAGGAAUUUUCCGCAAUGGACGAAAGUCUGACGGAGCGACACCGCGUGGGUGAUGAAGGUCUUCGGAUCGUAAAGCCCUGUCGGGGGGGAAGAAACCCUACCUUGCGAAUAGUUAGGUAGAUUGACGGUACCCCCUAAGGAAGCACCGGCUAACUACGUGCCAGCAGCCGCGGUAAUACGUAGGGUGCAAGCGUUAUCCGGAAUCACUGGGCGUAAAGAGCUCGUAGGUGGUCUUGUAAGUCGCAUGUUAAAGCCCCAGGCUUAACUUGGGAAAUGCGUGCGAUACUGCUAGGCUAGAGGAUGGGAGAGGAAAGCGGAAUUCCAGGUGUAGCGGUGAAAUGCAUAGAUAUCUGGAAGAACACCGGUGGCGAAGGCGGCUUUCUGGACCAUUUCUGACACUGAGGAGCGAAAGCUAGGGUAGAGAACGGGAUUAGAUACCCCGGUAUUCCUAGCUGUAAACGAUGGGUACUAGGUGUGGGAGGUAUCGACCCCUUCCGUGCCGCAGCUAACGCAUUAAGUACCCCGCCUGGGAAGUACGGCCGCAAGGUUAAAACUCAAAGGAAUUGACGGGGGCCCGCACAAGCGGUGGAGCAUGUGGUUUAAUUCGACGCAACGCGAAGAACCUUACCUAGGCUUGACAUCUGGUGAAUCUGGUGGAAACAUUGGAGUGCCUUUCGGGGAACCCCAAGACAGGUGCUGCAUGGCUGUCGUCAGCUCGUGCCGUGAGGUGUUGGAUUAAGUUCCGCAACGAGCGCAACCCUUAUCCUUAUUUGCCAUCAUUCAGUUGGGGACUAUAAGGAGACUGCCAAUUUAUAAUUGGAGGAAGGUGGGGAUGACGUCAAGUCAGCAUGGCCUUUAUGCCUAGGGCUACACACGUGCUACAAUGGCCGGUACAGCGGGUUGCAACACCGCGAGGUGAAGCGAAUCCCUUAAAGCCGGUCUCAUUUCGGAUUGGAGUCUGCAAUUCGACUCCAUGAAGUUGGAAUCGCUAGUAACCGCGGAUCAGCAUGCCGUGGUGAAUACGUUCUCGGGCCUUGUACACACCGCCCGUCACACCAUCCGAGACGGGGGCACCCGAAGUCGCUGACC